rnacentral:sRNA from 1 species
CUUUAAAAAUCUGGAUCAAGCUGAAAAUUGAAACGACACACUGUUAAUGGUGUGUUCGAGUCUCUCAAAUUUUCGCAACACGAUGAUGAAUCGAAAGAAACAUCUUCGG